UUAAUUUGACUCAACGCGGGGUAAUUUACCAGGUAUAACAUGGUAUAAUAUUUUAUCAUGAUAGUGGUGCAUGGCCGUUUCCAAUGGAUGCUGUGAAGUAAUGAUUAAUUUCAACAAGAUGUGAGACCCUCGUUUAGACAGAUGUAGUGAUACAUAUGAAGGAGAGGAUUAAAACAGGUCCGUUAUGCCCUAAGAUAAUCUGGGUUGCACGCGCAAUACAAUAAUAUUUGGUAUUAUAAGGGAUAAUAUAAUGUAAGAUAUAUUUGAACAUGGAAUUGCUAGUAAAUUUUAUUUA
rnacentral:rRNA from 1 species